GGGAGGAUGACACACCAGUCAUUGUGUCUCACUUCUCUUCAGAGAACGGCAUAAAUGGUCAUGGGAAUUAUAAGUCACACCUCUCCGUAUUUGGAAGAUCAUUUCCCUGGCAGUAGGAGUAAUGCGCAAUCGACGUUUUGGUAGCAGGGCAGGCAAGAGCGGGUCUGGAAACCCAGUGUGGUCCAGAGCUCUGUGUACUUGCUGUAAGGCCGGGCAUUUUCCUCCCAGUCCUCAGGUACAGCCUGGGAACCCGGGGAUCACAGCAGCCAAGCAUUCUGGCAAAGCAUGAAUGGUUGGGGCUGGUGCAUGGGGAUGACCCAGAAAGAUGUUAUGGGGAGGGAGGUGGGAGGGGGGUUCAUGUUUGGGAAUGCAUGUAAGAAUUAAAG
ensembl:lncRNA